rnacentral:rRNA from 1 species
CCUACGGGCGGCAGCAGUGAGGAAUAUUGGUCAAUGGGCGAGAGCCUGAACCAGCCAAGUCGCGUGAGGGAGUACUGCCCUAUGGGUUGUAAACCUCUUUUGUCGGGGAGCAAAAGCCGGACGUGUCCGGCUGUGAGGGUACCCGAAGAAAAAGCAUCGGCUAACUCCGUGCCAGCAGCCGCGGUAAUACGGAGGAUGCGAGCGUUAUCAGGAUUUAUUGGGGUGAAGGGGUGCGCAGGCGGAUUUUUAAGUGAGCGGUAAAAUCGUGGGGCUCAACCACAUCCAGCCGUUGAAACUGGGGAUCUAGAGUGUGCGAGAGGCAUGCGGAAUGCGUGGUGUAGCGGUGAAAUGCAUAGAUAUCACGCAGAACCCCGAUGGCGAAGGCAGCAUACCGGUGCACAACUGACGCUCAGGCACGAAAGCGUGGGUAUCGAACAGGAUUAGAUACCCUUGUAGUC